rnacentral:misc_RNA from 1 species
GCUUCUUUCUAUAAAAUACAAAGCGGGGAGGUUGAAGAGGCAUCGGAGAAAGCCUAAGAACUAACAAGAAGAUAAAGAAAAACCAUACCCUUUCAACAUGGGAGUAGAAGCCUUGCCCAGGAACGGUGAUAUUGCUUCUGUUGCUGCUUGUCCUCAUCCUCUUAUACUGGGUCUCCAGCCUGCCGCUCUCAUAGACCACGUUGCCCGUGUCGAUUGGUCCUUGCUGGAUCAAAUACCCGGUGACCGCGGUGGCUCCAUACCCGUUGCAA